rnacentral:tRNA from 1 species
GGUAAAAUGGCUGAGUAAUAAGCAUUAGACUGUAAAUCUAAAUACAGAGGUAGUCCUCUUUUUACCA